AGCGAACGCUGGCGGCAGGCUUAACACAUGCAAGUCGAGCGGGCACUUUCGGGUGUCAGCGGCGGACGGGUGAGUAACGCGUGGGAACGUGCCCUCUGGUUCGGAAUAACUCAGGGAAACUUGAGCUAAUACCGGAUACGCCCUUUUGGGGAAAGGCUUGCUGCCGGAGGAUCGGCCCGCGUCUGAUUAGCCAGUUGGUGAGGUAACGGCUCACCAAGGCGACGAUCAGUAGCUGGUCUGAGAGGAUGAUCAGCCACACUGGGACUGAGACACGGCCCAGACUCCUACGGGAGGCAGCAGUGGGGAAUAUUGGACAAUGGGCGCAAGCCUGAUCCAGCCAUGCCGCGUGAGUGAUGAAGGCCUUAGGGUUGUAAAGCUCUUUUAUCCGGGACGAUAAUGACGGUACCGGAGGAAUAAGCCCCGGCUAACUUCGUG
rnacentral:rRNA from 1 species